rnacentral:rRNA from 1 species
UACGUAGGGUGCGAGCGUUGUCCGGAUUUACUGGGCGUAAAGAGCGCGCAGGCGGUCGUACAAGUCGCGUGUGAAAGCCCCCGGCUCAACUGGGGAGGGUCACGCGAUACUGUUCGACUCGAAGGCAGGAGAGGGUAGUGGAAUUCCCGGUGUAGUGGUGAAAUGCGUAGAUAUCGGGAGGAACACCAGUGGCGAAGGCGACUACCUGGCCUGUUCUUGACGCUGAGGCGCGAAAGCUAGGGUAGCAAACGGG